CCUACGGGUGGCAGCAGUGAGGAAUAUUGGUCAAUGGGCGCGAGCCUGAACCAGCCAAGUAGCGUGAAGGAUGACUGCCCUACGGGUUGUAAACUUCUUUUAUAAAGGAAGAAAGUGAGGCACGUGUGCCUUGUUGUAUGUACGUUAUGAAUAAGGAUCGGCUAACUCCGUGCCAGCAGCCGCGGUAAUACGGAGGAUCCGAGCGUUAUCCGGAUUUAGUGGGUUGAACGGGAGCGUAGCUGGGUUGUUAAGUCAGUGGUGCAAGUUGGCGGCUCAACCGUAAAAGUGCAAUUGAUACUGGCAGCCUUGAGUACCGUUGCGGUAGGCGGACUUCGUGGUGUAGCGGU
rnacentral:rRNA from 1 species